rnacentral:rRNA from 1 species
GACGAACGCUGGCGGCGUGCUUAACACAUGCAAGUCGAACGGAAAAGCCCUGCUUUUGUGGGGUGCUCGAGUGGCGAACGGGUGAGUAACACGUGAGUAACCUGCCCUUGACUUUGGGAUAACUUCAGGAAACUGGGGCUAAUACCGGAUAGGAGCUCCUGCUGCAUGGUGGGGGUUGGAAAGUUUCGGCGGUUGGGGAUGGACUCGCGGCUUAUCAGCUUGUUGGUGGGGUAGUGGCUUACCAAGGCUUUGACGGGUAGCCGGCCUGAUAGGGUGACCGGCCACAUUGGGACUGAGAUACGGCCCAGACUCCUACGGGAGGCAGCAGUGGGGAAUAUUGCACAAUGGGCGGAAGCCUGAUGCAGCAACGCCGCGUGCGGGAUGACGGCCUUCGGGUUGUAAACCGCUUUCGCCUGUGACGAAGCGUGAGUGACGGUAAUGGGUAAAGAAGCACCGGCUAACUACGUG